rnacentral:rRNA from 1 species
AGCGUGAAGCCCCCCUUAAGAUGAGAUUUCCCAUUAAUUAAUUUAAGUAAGACCCCUCAAAGAUGAUGAGGUUGAUAGGCCAGGUGUGUACGCACGGUGACGUGUUUAGCUGACUGGUACUAAUAGGUCGAGGACUUAACUUU